rnacentral:rRNA from 1 species
GAUGACCGCUGGCGGCAGUCCUAACACAUGCAAGUCGAGCGGUAACAGGAAGUAGCUUGCUACUUUGCUGACGAGCGGCGGACGGGUGAGUAAUGCUUGGGAACUUGCCUUUGGGAGGGGGAUAACCGCUGGAAACGGUGGCUAAUACCGCAUGAUGUUUACGAACCAAAGUGGGGGCUCUUCGGACCUCACGCCCAGAGAUAGGCCCAAGUGAGAUUAGCUAGUUGGUGAGGUAAUGGCUCACCAAGGCGACGAUCUCUAGCUGUUCUGAGAGGAUGAUCAGCCACACUGGGACUGAGACACGGCCCAGACUCCUACGGGAGGCAGCAGUGGGGAAUAUUGGACAAUGGGGGCAACCCUGAUCCAGCCAUGCCGCGUGUGUGAAGAAGGCCUUCCGGUUGUAAAGCACUUUCAGUGGUGAGGAAGGCCCUGCUGGUUAAU